rnacentral:rRNA from 1 species
AUAUCAAUAAGCGGAGGAAAAGAAACUAACAAGGAUUCCCCUAGUAACGGCGAGUGAAGCGGGAAGAGCUCAAAUUUGAAGUCUGGCGGUCUACGGCCGUCCGAGUUGUAGUCUAGAGAAGCGUUUUCCGUGCCGGACCGUGUACAAGUCCCUUGGAAUGGGGCGUCAUAGAGGGUGAGAAUCCCGUCUCUGACACGGACUGCCGGUGCUCUGUGAUGCGCUCUCGAAGAGUCGAGUUGUUUGGGAAUGCAGCUCAAAAUGGGUGGUAAAUUCCAUCUAAAGCUAAAUAUUGGCGAGAGACCGAUAGCGAACAAGUACCGUGAGGGAAAGAUGAAAAGCACUUUGGAAAGAGAGUUAAACAGUACGUGAAAUUGUUGAAAGGGAAACGCUUGAAGUCAGUCGCAUCUGCCGGGACUCAGCCUUGCUUCUGCUUGGUGCACUUCCCGGUUGGAUGGGCCAGCAUCGAUUUUGGCCGGCAGAUAAGGUCCGAGGGAAUGUGGCACCUUUGGGUGUGUUAUAGCCCUCGGUGAUAUGCCGGUCGGGAUCGAGGAACUCAGCACGCCUUCAUGGUCGGGGUUCGCCCACGUCACGUGCUCAGGAUGCUGGCGUAAUGGCUUUAAACGACCCGUCUUGAAACACGGACCAAGGAGUCUAACAUGUCUGCGAGUGUUUGGGUGAUUAAACCCGAGCGCGUAAUGAAAGUGAAAAGUUGGGACCCUUCGCGGGGGCACCGACGCCCGAACCAGACCUUCUGUGACGGAUUUGAGGUAGAGCAUACAUGUUGGGACCCGAAGAUGGUGACUAUGCUGCAUAGGUGAGCCAGAGAACUCUGUGAGCUCGUAACGAAUCCUGACCUGCAAUCGAUCGGUUCGAUGUGUGGUAUAUAGGGGGCGCG